GUUGGGUGCAGUGGUGCACACCUGUAAUCCCAGUGGCUCAGGAAGCUGAGGCAGGAGGAUCAUGAGUUCAAAGCCAGCCUCAGCAACAGCGAGGCACUAGGCAACUCGGUGAGACCCUGUCUCUA
rnacentral:sRNA from 1 species